rnacentral:rRNA from 1 species
GACGAACGCUGGCGGCGUGCCUAAUACAUGCAAGUAGAACGCUGAAGCGAGGAGCUUACUCUUCUUGGAUGAGUUGCGAACGGGUGAGUAACGCGUAGGUAACCUGCCUUGUAGCGGGGGAUAACUAUUGGAAACGAUAGCUAAUACCGCAUAACAAUGGAUGACACAUGUCAUUUAUUUGAAAGGGGCAAUUGCUCCACUACAAGAUGGACCUGCGUUGUAUUAGCUAGUAGGUGAGGUAAUGGCUCACCUAGGCGACGAUACAUAGCCGACCUGAGAGGGUGAUCGGCCACACUGGGACUGAGACACGGCCCAGACUCCUACGGGAGGCAGCAGUAGGGAAGCUUCGGCAAUGGGGGCAACCCUGACCGAGCAACGCCGCGUGAGUGAAGAAGGUUUUCGGAUCGUAAAGCUCUGUUGUAAGUCAAGAACGGGUGUGAGAGUGGAAAGUUCACACUGUGACGGUAGCUGACCAGAAAGGGACGGCUAACUACGUG